rnacentral:lncRNA from 1 species
AGAUCUCCCAGGUCAGGCAAAGCAAUCUCCAAAGGUUCCAACAAAAACAAUCAUUGGAAGUACAAUUAGCGUCCCUUACAACUCAGGAAGUCACACCCUGCCUGAGGAGCUCCCCUCUCAACUUCUGGAAGAAGUACGACUGAAUUAAAA